rnacentral:tRNA from 1 species
UCCUCGUUGGCUCAGAUGGUGAAGAAUCUGCCUUCAAUGCAGGAGACCCAGGUUUGAUCCCUGGGUUGGGAA